rnacentral:rRNA from 1 species
AAUCAACGCUGGCGGCGUGCCUCAGACAUGCAAGUCGAACGCGAAAUUUCCCUUCGGGGAGAAAGUAGAGUGGCGCACGGGUGAGUAACACGUAGGUAAUUUGCCUUUGGGUGGGGAAUAACUCAGGGAAACUUGAGCUAAUACCGCAUAAUGCAGCGGCUCGACAUCGAGACAGUUGUUAAAGCGGGGGAUUGGAGCAAUCCGACCUCGCGCCUAAAGAGAAGCCUGCGGCAGAUUAGCUAGUUGGUAAGGUAAUGGCUUACCAAGGCGACGAUCUGUAACCGGCCUGAGAGGGCGGUCGGGUCACACUGACACUGACAUACGGGUCAGACUCCUACGGGAGGCAGCAGUCGGGAAUUUUGGGCAAUGGGCGCAAGCCUGACCCAGCAACGCCGCGUGAAGGAUG